rnacentral:rRNA from 1 species
GUGGGGAAUAUUGCGCAAUGGGGGAAACCCUGACGCAGCGACGCCGCGUGAGCGAAGAAGGCCUUAGGGUUGUAAAGCUCUGUUUUAAGGGACGAAUGUCGUGGGGAGUAAUAUGCUCUGCGAAUGACGGUACCUUAAGAGGAAGCCCCGGCUAACUACGUGCCAGCAGCCGCGGUAAGACGUAGGGGGCGAGCGUUGUCCGGAAUUACUGGGCGUAAAGAGCACGUAGGCGGGAACUUAAGUCAGGUGUGAAAGACCGGGGCUCAACUCCGUGGUUGCACUUGAAACUGGGUUUCUUGAGGGCAGGAGAGGAAAGCAGAAUUCCUGGUGUAGCGGUGAAAUGCGUAGAAAUCAGGAGGAAUACCAGUGGCGAAGGCGGCUUUCUGGACUGACCCUGACGCUGAGGUGCGAAAGCGUGGGUAGCAAACAGGAUUAGAAACCCUUGUAGUCC